GGUAUGCCCAUGAUGAAAUGUUUCAACCUGUGUAAGGAUUAGAGACACUGGGCAUGUAUUCUCACUAGGCCUUUUUUUUUCUGAGGCAUAUU
rnacentral:snoRNA from 1 species